GAUGAACGCUGGCGGCGUGCCUAAUACAUGCAAGUCGAGCGAACGGACGAGAAGCUUGCGUCUCUGAUGUUAGCGGCGGACGGGUGAGUAACACGUGGAUAACCUACCUAUAAGACUGGGAUAACUUCGGGAAACCGGAGCUUAUACCGGAUAAUAUUUUGAACCGCGUGGUGCAAAAGUGAAAGACGGUCUUGCUGUCACUUAUAGAUGGAUCCGCGCUGCAUUAGCUAGUUGGUAAGGUAACGGCCUACCAAGGCAACGAGGCAUAGCCGACCUGAGAGGGUGAUCGGCCACACUGGAACUGAGACACGGUCCAGGCUCCUACGAGAGGCAGCAGUAGGGAAUCGUCCGCAGUGGGCGAAAGCCUGACGGAGCAGCGCGGCGUGAGUUGUGAAGGUCUUCGGAUCGUAAAGCUCUGUUAUUAGGGGAGAACAUAUGUGUAAGUAACUGUGCACAUCUUGACGGUACCUAGUCAGAAAGCCACGGCUAACUACGUG
rnacentral:rRNA from 1 species